GUGAAUCAUCGAAUUUUUGAACGCAAAUUGCACUCUCUGGUAUUCCGGAGAGUAUGCCUGUUUGAGGGUCAGUUGAAAUAAAAAGCGGUGUUGUUGCUGCCUUUCGUGGUGACGCACCGGAUUUUGGGAGUUGUGCCUUCGUUUAUGUGAGCUAGAGUUUUGCAUGAUUUGUUUCGAACGUAUUUAAAUUUUUUUACGUACAUUUGCGAUAUCGAAUACUAGGUUUGGUCAUCCUCAUGAUUCGCGCGU
rnacentral:misc_RNA from 1 species